rnacentral:rRNA from 1 species
UACGGAGGGGGCCAGCGUUGUUCGGAAUCAUUGGGCGUAAAGGGCGCGUAGGCGGCCGACCAAGUCGGAGGUGAAAUCCCUCGGCUCAACUGAGGAACUGCCUCCGAUACUGUUCGGCUUGAGUCCCGGAGAGGGUAGUGGAAUUCCGAGUGUAGCGGUGAAAUGCGUAGAGACUCGGAAGAACACCAGUGGCGAAGGCGGCUACCUGGACGGGUACUGGACGCUGAAGCG